rnacentral:lncRNA from 1 species
GGUGCUCCCCAUACUCCUCCUGGCUCAGGACAAUGAAAGGCUGCUCUUGCCGGACCCCAACAGACUCCAUACUGCUGGCAGGCAUCUUGGUUGAAGUCUCUGCUUGGUCAGCUUGUGGCUCUGAGCAUGGUUCUGGCUCCGAUGUGCUAAUAUCUGCUUUCUUCUCAGCACUCUGAACCUGAGAGGUCCCUUUUGACAGCAGCUCUCUCCUUUCCUUCCCAUGCUCUUGCAAGCGCUUCUGACGCUGCUGCAGGGAGCUCGACUCACCUGCUACUAACCCACUAAAGUGGCUCUUCCCAUCCUUACUGCUUGCUGUUCCUUCUUUUCCUUUGGCACUCUGGUGAUUUGCUGGUUCUUUCUUCCCUAGCAGCACGCUGCCAGU